UAUUGCUCGACAGAAUGCUGAAAGUAAGAAUAGAGCUCUUGAGCAACGUAUUUUGGAAUUGGAAGAGGAAAGGUUGGCACAAGUAAGGACAAAUGUUGAAGUCCUGUCACAACAUGGUUCUAAUUCAAGACAAUAUGCGAGUCUGACACCUGAAGAACAUAUCGAUGAGGCACAUAAUGAUCCUCAGCCUAAAAAUUAUGAUAAUUAUGUAUAGGAUGAAGAAAAUGAUCGGUAUGGAGAGGAGGACGAGGACCUGCUUCCAUGUAGGCAUGGUGCAACCCAAUCAGCUAUGAACAUAACAACACCAAAUGUUCACCCUUACAAAUCAUUUAUGUGUGAUUUAAAAAAUGUUCCCUUCUCCACAAUUCUCAUAAGUGAAUUGUUUAUUUCAGGUUCAAAUUGGAGAGAACUUGACCCCCAUUAGGCCUGCUGUAGCUGUCUGGUCAGCUAUGCACAUGAAUACUGCACCAAGUGAUAUCCACCCUUGCUUUGCAAACGAUUCACAUGUUGCGGCACAAGAGAGCUUGCUGCCCCCUAGGACUGUUGCAGCCCGAUCAACUAUUAACAUGACCACCUCAACAAAUGAUACACAUGUUGUAGCACAAGAGAGCUUGCUUCCCCCUAGGACUGUUGCAGCCCUAUCAGCUAUUAACAUGACCACUACAACAAAUGAUAGACGCUAGAAUUGGUGAGAGCUUGCUGCCCCUUAGACAUGAUGUGGCCCAUUCAUCUAGGAACAAGAGAACUACACCAACAAAUGAUGGCCCUCGCUUUUCUCAUGAUAACCUUGUUGGCAGCGAUGUGAUAUUAUUUGCUAUGUUGAGAUCUGAUUUAGCUGUGGCUAGGGGAACAGUCACAUCAACUAAUCCAAACACCAUGGUAGGAGGCGAGCCUCUUGGGAAUGAAUACUGUGAAGUAGUUGUUAAUGUUGUGAUGAAAAGAGAUGCUCUGCUGCCCCGAGCUUAUGGCGAUGUGCAGACUAUGGCUAGUGCUCUCAAGAUGACCAUCGCAUGGCCAUACAAUAAAAUUAAGGAAUGCAAGAAGAAGGCAUCUGGACCUCUCAAGAGCACAGUAG